AGUGAACGCUGGCGGUAGGCCUAACACAUGCAAGUCGAACGGCAGCACAGUAAGAGCUUGCUCUUACGGGUGGCGAGUGGCGGACGGGUGAGGAAUACAUCGGAAUCUACUUUUUCGUGGGGGAUAACGUAGGGAAACUUACGCUAAUACCGCAUACGACCUACGGGUGAAAGCAGGGGAUCUUCGGACCUUUCGCGAUUGAAUGAGCCGAUGUCGGAUUAGCUAGUUGGCGGGGUAAAGGCCCACCAAGGCAACGAUCCGUAGCUGGUCUGAGAGGAUGAUCAGCCACACUGGAACUGAGACACGGUCCAGACUCCUACGGGAGGCAGCAGUGGGGAAUAUUGGGCAAUGGGCGCAAGCCUGAUCCAGCCAUACCGCGUGAGUGAAGAAGGCCUUCGGGUUGUAAAGCCCUUUUGUUGGGAAAGAAAAGCAGCAGGUUAAUACCCCGCUGUUCUGACGGUACCCAAAGAAUAAGCACCGGCUAACUUCGUG
rnacentral:rRNA from 1 species